UGGAGUGUCAACCAACACUCUAAACACUUUGUUUCUUUAAAGAGAAUAAUUGAUUUAACUAGGAGCUGAACAAAACUGUGGACAUGUUUCUUGGCAGACAUUUGAGACUUUGACCCGGGUGGAUCAGGUGUGUGAGAGACUCCAAAAAGCGACAUCUCUGCUCGAGGAGAGGCUGGCUGAGCUUGAAAACUGGAGCACAGAAGCCCAAGAGGUCUGCCACCACCUAAAAGAAAGGCAGCAUAGGGGCCACUGGGGGCCACAUCCCAGGACUAAAGGACUGAUCUCAAGAGGUCUACAUUUGGAAGGACAGGUGGUGACAGAAGGUGAGGACCUGCAGGUGCUUGUGACAUCGGUGCAAAAGAUCUCCUCCCUGCCUUACCUCAGAACAUCAGCAUUACUAGACCAACUGCAACGGAAUGUCUUGCACUCUCAGGUGAAUUUCAUUGCAGGCCAGUAUCAGUUAAGAAAAGCUUAAAAUCAUGAUGUUGUAACUUCUCACACCCUUCUGUGUGUCUUUCAGGAGGUUACCGAGAUGCUCAGUUCUCAUGAAGUGAAGCGUGAAGGACACCCUAAAGGUGCACGGCCCGCUUCCAAGGUUUUCAUACAGGCAUAUUCUCAGCCUGAAUCCCAAAUUGGAACCAUUCAGCACCAUCAGAAUGAGACAUUUUCCAAAAGUUCCAUACUUUCUCCAGAGAACCCAGAAGAACCUCAAAGCCAAGAACUCUAUUCUUCCAAGCUGGAGUCUCAUUUGGAAGCCACCAGUGGCGUACAGCCCCAGGUUCUCCCCCAGGAUCAUGAUAAAUCUCCAAAAGACCAAAGAAAAACUAUAUGCCAAGUACAACAUGCAGAGCUCAAACAGCCUUUGUUGUCAUCUGUUGUUGGCAGGAAGGUUCAAAUGAAACCUCAGACCGAAGUUCAACUGGUCUCUGUAGACUCAAGCCUAACCAGUAGCUUUGGACCAUCAGACCUUCAAGCUGCCUUAGUAAACUCAAGCCAGAACAGACCCUUAGACCCUGUACAGGUUAUCUCUGUAGACCCAAUCCAUACCAGUGACUUCAGUCUAUCAGAGCUACAGGUUGUCUCAAGCCAGACCAGUGGAUUUAGACCAUUAGACUCUCUCCAGGUUAUAUCUUUAGACUCAGGCCAAACCAGUGGCACUGAACAAUCAAACCCUCUGCAGUCUCCAUCUUCAACUAUGUCCACCCCAAGCACAUCACUUACAUCGGUUACCAUGACUGAACUAAGAAUGCCAGUCGAGCAGCAUCUUGGUUCACCACCAAAAUGGCAACCUCAAACCUCCUUGGUGACCCCAGACCAAAGACAAAGGGUUCUGGUCAAAAGUCACAGUUUUCCUCAGCCCCAUGAGCCAUCACAAACUCUGCCUGUAACCUCUCUUGCAUCCUGCCCAAGCACUUUGCAUACACCAGUAACAGUGACUCAACAAACAACGCCAAUCAAGCAGCACCUUGGUUCACCACCAAAAUGGCAGCCUCAGACCUCCCUGAUGACCCUACACCAAAGACGAACUGUUCUAUCCAAAAGUCACAGUUUUCCACAGCCAUCAGAGGGACCAGGUGUUCCCCAUGUACCAGGACAGAAUGAGGUGUAUGCUAGAGCUCAGGCUUUGGCCAGGAGCAGACUGGAUAAAACCAGAAAGCACCUGCAUGAACAUAUACAGGACGUAAUCUCUGUGAUAAGUGCAAGAGACAAAUCUAAAAAACAAGCCAAGAAAAAACAGACAGUGUCACGUCUUCUCAGGCCUGCAGUGUUGGAGAUGUUUCUAGAAGCUGUGAAGGGAAUGGGGGAUUUCUGCUCUGAUGCUCAGCUCAGAGACAUGGACCUCCUCUCUCAAUCAGUCAGGGCCCAGUGGGAGGUAAGAGAGAGAUCAUGGUCCUUCUAGCUUUGCAUUAGUGUAUGCUGUAAACCCAAACCAUCAGAACUGGAUUGUUGUGAUUGGUUUAGGUAAUGCUUGCGAAUUACUAUUUAUAUUUAUACGCCAUUUAUGUUUUCCUGAAAAGUUUUAAAGGUGCAUUCUGUUUGGGCUUUAGUUAUCGUUAACAUUUCGGGUCACUUCAUUUUUGAACAUGGCAAAAUACAAUGGGGG
ensembl:lncRNA